AGUGAACGCUGGCGGCAGGCCUAACACAUGCAAGUCGAACGGUAACAGAAUGCAGCUUGCCGCUUUGCUGACGAGUGGCGGACGGGUGAGAGAUGUCUGGGAAACUGCAUGAUGGAGGGGGAUAACAACUGGAAACGGUAGCUAAAACCGCAUAUCGUACCUAGAGCAAAGAGGAGGACCUCCGCGCCUCUUGCCCUCUGGUAUGCCCAGAUGGGAUUAGCUAGUAGGUGGGGUAACGGCUCACCUAGGCGACGAUCCCUAGCUGGUCUGAGAGGAUGACCAGCCACACUGGAACUGAGACACGGUCCAGACUCCUACGGGAGGCAGCAGUGGGGAAUAUUGGACAAUGGGCGCAAGCCUGAUGCAGCCAUGCCGCGUGUAUGAAGAAGGCCUUCGGGUUGUAAAGUACUUUUGGCGGGGAAGAAGGGAGUAAAGUUAAUACCUUUGCUCAUUGACGGUACCCGCAGAAGAAGCACCGGCUAACUCCGUG
rnacentral:rRNA from 1 species